rnacentral:rRNA from 1 species
AAUCCCGUGAACCAUCGAGUUUUUGAACGCAAGUUGCGCCCGAAGCCUUCGGGCCGAGGGCACGCCUGCCUGGGCGUCACGCAUCGCGUCGCCCCCCCCCCCC